UUAAAGGAAUUGACGGGGGCCCGCACAAGCGGAGGAACAUGUGGUUUAAUUCGAUGAUACGCGAGGAACCUUACCUGGGCUUAGAUGGGAGUGACAGCUGUCGAAAGAUGGUUUUCUUCGGACACUCUUCAAGGUGCUGCAUGGUUGUCGUCAGCUCGUGCCGUGAGGUGUCGGGUUAAGUCCCAUAACGAGCGCAACCCUUACCGUUAGUUACCAUCAGGUUAAGCUGGGGACUCUAGCGGGACUGCCACCGUAAGGUGAGAGGAAGUGGGGAUGACGUCAGAUCAGCACGGCCCUUAUGUCCAGGGCUACACACGUGUUACAAUGGCCAGUACAAAGGGCAGCUACCGGGUGACCGGAUGCUAAUCUCUAAAGCUGGUCUCAGUUCGGAUCGAAGUCUGCAACCCGACUUCGUGAAGCUGGAUUCGCUAGUAAUCGCGCAUCAGCCAUGGCGCGGUGAAUACGUUCCCGGGCCUU
rnacentral:rRNA from 1 species